AUGCCUAUUGAUUCAGUUGGUGGGCCGGCCCACUGGGCAUCGCCAAAUGGACCUACAUUGAAUCGUACCAUCUCAGAAUGGACCUACAUUGAAUUGCUAGAAGAAGUUGCACACGAAUCAGGCUUGUCCGACUUCAGAUUAGAAGAGGAACCAAAAAUCCUUCUUUCGGAAUUUGCUGCAAACAAGCAAAGACCCGACCAAGGAAUGUCGCUGCUAACAUCUAGAUAUCCAUCGCUGCAAUUUUGGGUGGAUGUUUACACAUGCAUUGAGCAAAACAGACUAAACUGGAUUAGGAAUAAUCAAGGGAAGCUACGAACUAAACUUUAUAGUGGACCGCAGGACACGAUUGAGAGAGGGGACACCAGAACAGAGCAGGUCGGAAAGAGGAUAAUUGUACCUUCAUCAUAUACAGGAGGUAGAAGAAACAAGGCACAAAACUUGCAAGACGCAUUUGCAAUAUGCCAUUGGGAUGGAUAUCCAGACCUAUUUAUAACAUUCACAUGCAAUGCAAAGUGGCCUGAGAUCCAAUACAUGCUAGAUGAAGCAGGAGGAGGCCUCAAGCCAGCCGACCGACCAGAUAUUGUUGACUGA
rnacentral:rRNA from 1 species